rnacentral:rRNA from 1 species
GCGACGAUCCAUAGCCGGCUUGAGAGGGUGAACGGCCACAUUGGGACUGAGACACGGCCCAGACUCCUACGGGAGGCAGCAGUGGGGAAUAUUGCACAAUGGGGGAAACCCUGAUGCAGCGACGCCGAAAAAAGGAAGAAGUAUCUCGGUAUGUAAACUUCUAUCAGCAGGGAAGAAAAUGACGGUACCUGACUAAGAAGCCCCGGCUAACUACGUGCCAGCAGCCGCGGUAAUACGUAGGGGGCAAGCGUUAUCCGGAUUUACUGGGUGUAAAGGGAGCGUAGACGGUGUUGCAAGUCUGAUGUGAAAGGCGGGGGCUCAACCCCUGGACUGCAUUGGAAACUGUGAUACUCGAGUGCCGGAGAGGUAAGCGGAAUUCCUAGUGUAGCGGUGAAAUGCGUAGAUAUUAGGAGGAACACCAGUGGCGAAGGCGGCUUACUGGACGGUAACUGACGUUGAGGCUCGAAAGCGUGGGGAGCAAACAAAAUUAGAUACCCUGGUAGUCCACGCCGUAAACGACAAAUAAAGGGUGUCGGGGGGCUGAGUUCCUUCGGUGCCGCAGCAAACGCACUAAGUAUUCCACCUGGGGGGUACGUUCGCAACAAUGAAACUCAAAGGAAAUGACGGGGACCCGCACAACCGGCGGAGCAUGUGGUUUAAUUAGAAGCAACGCGAAGAACCUCACCAAGUCCUGACAUCCUUCUGACCGCACCUUAACCGGUCCUUUCCUUCCGGACAGAGGAGACAGGUGCAGCAUGGUCGUCGUCAGCUCGUGUCGUGAGAUGGUGGGUUAAGUCCCGCAACGAGCGCAACCCUUAUCCUUAGUAGCCAGCGGUCCGCCCGGGCACUCUGGGGAGACUGCCACGGACAACCUGGAGGAAGGUGGGGAUGACGUCAAAUCAUCAUGCCCCUUAUGAUUUGGGCUACACACGUGCUACAAUGGCGUAAACAAAGGGAAGCGAUCACGUGAGUGUAAGCAAAUCUCAAAAAUAACGUCCCAGUUCGGACUGCAGUCUGCAACCCGCCUACACGAAGCUGGAAUCGCUAGUAAUCGCAGGUCAGCAUACCGCGGUGAAUACGUUCCCGGGUCUUGCACA